rnacentral:misc_RNA from 1 species
GUGAGUCAUCGAAUCUUUGAACGCACAUUGCGCCCCCUGGUAUUCCGGGGGGCAUGCCUGUCCGAGCGUCAUUACUGCCCUCAAGCGCGGCUUGUGUGUUGGGCCUCGUCCCCCCCGGGGGACGGGUCCGAAAGGCAGUGGCGGCGCCGUGCCCGAUCCUCGAGCGUAUGGGGCUUUGUCACCCGCUCUGGAGGCCCGGCCGGAUGCCGUCGACCAACCCCCAACUCAGGCGUUCGCGCCUCUACGGUUGACCUCGGAUCAGGUAGGGAUACCCGCUGAACUUAAGCAUAUCAAUAAGCG